rnacentral:lncRNA from 1 species
UUUUUUUUUUUUUUUUUUUUUUUUUUUUUUUUUUUUUUUUCCAUUUUACCCUUGAAUUUAUUUUACUUUAAUUUUUUUUUUUAAAUUAAUAUUUUUUUAUAUAUUAUUGUUUGUUACAUUUAAUACAGAAAAACGAUAAUUAUAAAUGGAAUAGGAAGCAUAUGGUGUACGAUCAUAUUUUUUUAUAUUUUUUUUAUAUAAAACUCAAUAUUACAUAAAAAUAUAUGUGAAUAUAUGUAAAAAAAUAUAUGUAUAAAAACAUGUUCAUAAACAUAUGUAUAAGUAUAUAUAUACGUAUUUACCAUAUGCACAAUUUUUUUUUUUUAAAAAGCAAAUGUUCUUAAACUUAAAAAGAAUGUAAGAAACGUGUUUUAAAAAAUUAUAAAAAAUUAAAAAAAUCAGAAAUAUCCUUAAAAAUAAAUUAAUAGAAAAAAAAUAAAGUAAUAAUAAAAAAAAAAAAAAAAUAAAAUGUUAAGUAAAUCAUAAAUAAGGAUUACAUAAAGUUUUAUAAAUGUAAAUCAUUAGAUGAGUUCAUGAGAAAAAAUAGAACAGGUAAAUUAAUUAAGUAUAGUGAGUAUUCUCAUAGACAAAAUGAAUAUAAAGGAAAACCUUAACUUUGGUAAACACUGUACCAUUCAUAACGAUCGAAGCAGUAAUAUAUACGACAUAAAUAAUAAGAAGUAUUAUAAUAAAAAUGGCAGCAAAUAUAACGACAUAAAUAACAACGUACUUCACGAUAAAAAUAACAUGAAUAACGAGAACAAACACAUAAAUAUAAACAUAAAUCUUAUUGUAAAAUGUGACAUUUAUUUCUAUCAAUGUGUUAAAACAUAUUUUUUUAAUUUCCUUAUAAAAAAUAAUAACAUUAUUACUGUAUUAUAUUCUAAUGAUGAUAAUUUAAAUUGUAUGAGUUCGUUAAUUACUUUAGUAAAAUAUAUAAAAUAUAAUAAUGGAUUUUUUUUAAUAUAUUUAUAUUAUACGCAUACAAUGUAUAAAAUGGCUUUAUUUUUUAUGAAAAUAUAUAUUUCUGUUUAUAUAUAUAAUUUAAGAAAAUUGUACGUUUUCUUAUUUUGUGCUUACCUAAAAUAUUUAAUCGAUAAAUGUAAAUAUUUGAUCAUUAAUAAAGUAAACAAAAAAAGUGAUCAUAUAUUUAUAAAAGUAAUGAAAUAUGUAAAAAAAAUAAACAGAAUUAUAUCAAGAGCCAAAUUAAAUAAUAUGAUAAAAAAUGGUUAUACAUAUAAUUGUUAUCAAAUAAAAAAUAAUGAACAAACAAAACAAUCUAAAAAUAAUUAUUAUUCCUGUUAUGCUUUUCAACAAUUACAUAUGAAAAAAGCAUUACGCAAAGUGAAUAAAAAAAAUAAAAAUACGAAACAUAUAAAAUAUAACAAAAGAUUAUAUAAAUGUUAUGUAGUAAACAAAAAUAAUACCAAUUUUUAUUAUAGUGAUGAUGCUAAAAAAUGCAGAAGUAAUUUGAAAAACAACGACACUUACAGUGAUAGUUUAGAAAUUGACAAAACGGAUAGUAAUAACUUAGGGGACAGCAAUAAUGACCCUAUAACUAAAAAAAACGAUCGAAUUAAUAAUGAUGCAAAUAAUAGAAUAGAUAACAGAAGCGAUAAAAAUAAUAAGAAAAAUAUUGUCGAUAAUAAAUAUUGUAAAAAAGUAAUAAAUAUUACUAACAAAAUUAAAAAAAUAAAACACCAAGUGAAGUAUGUGGGUGUUAGAACAAAAAAAAAGUUUAAAAAAAAUUAUAAUAAUAAAAUAUUUGAAAAAGAGAAAAAAAAAAAAAAAAAUGUUAUAUUAUAUUAUAAAAACGUACAUAAUAUAAAUAUAAAAAAGAGUAACACAUUUUAUUUUAAUAAACAAAAUUUGAAAGAAUUCUUGAAAUUAUAUGUAAAAAAAAGAAAAACAAAUUUUUACAUUUAUGUAAGAACAAAUAAAUUAAAAAAUGAUGACAUUUUAUACAACAUGCAUAAUUAUUUAUAUGAAAUUGGUUUAUUAGAAGAAAACGUGAAAACUAAAGUUUUUAUUAACAAAAAAAAUAAUAACCGUCAUGAUAAUAGUGAUAGGAAUGGAAGUAGUGAUAGGAAUGGAAGUAGUGAUAGGAAUGGAAGUAGUGAUAGGAGUGGAAGUAGUGGUAGGAGUGGAAGUAGUGAUAUGAAUGAGUGUAGUGGUAGAAAUGACAGUAGUAAGUUUACACUUUUUGUUAACAAAAUUUUUAAAUUUUUUAAUAUAAAAUCAUAUAUAGUAAUUUAUAAUAAAAAAAUUUGCAAUUUAAUUUUAAUAGUGUUACUUAUAUUUUCAAAUAUUUUAAAUAUAAGUAUACAAAAUUUAAUCAAAGAUAUCAGAGUUAUAUCACACUUCAAAAUAAAUAGUGUGUUAAGGUCUCAUAAUAUAAAGAAAGCUAAAGAGGGAUCAAUUAAAAACGGAGUUUGUUUUAUUGUUUUCUCAUCCUGUGCUGAGAAAAAAGAAAACAUUUUAAAAAAAUGUGUUAUUUGUUUUAACAUGCUAAAUGAAUGGGUCAUACAAAGCUAUAAAAAAAAAUUUACUAUUAUCUGUAAAAAACAUCAAAUAAGAUACUUUUUUAUAUUUAUAAAAAAUUAUUUUAUUUUUUUUGUUAUGUUAACAUGUAUUGAAAUUUAUUAUUUAAUUAUUAUAUAUAAUGUUUUAAAUAAUAAAAUUUUUUUUUUUAGUUACUGAAAAUUUUAAUUUCUCAUUUUUAAGAAAAAAAAAAAAAAAUAAAUUACAAAUCGUUAAUUUGUCA